GGUCUUAUGGUCUAGAGGUAUGAUUCUCGCUUAGGGAACACCCAAAGUUGAUUGCGAGAGGCCCCGCGUUCGAAUCGCGGUAAGACCC
rnacentral:tRNA from 2 species